rnacentral:lncRNA from 1 species
ACCAUUUUACCCUCCAUUUGCAAAAUUACAAUUUCACUAAUUAAGCCAAAAUGCUAAUUAACAUGAUUAGUAAAGGAUUAAGACCACAUAUAUAUUCAUAAUCUUCUCCUAAUCAUAACAGAAAAAACACAUUCUCCAAGAUUGGAUCAAGAACUUUCACAUUCUCUCCAAAACCCUCAAGAACACCAACACUUUCAAUCUCAAAAUUCU